rnacentral:misc_RNA from 1 species
GCUCAAUGCCGGGAAGCAAGUCCAUGGUCUCUUCAUCACUUUGGUGGAUUCAUGUAAAACUGUUCAUUUAUUGGAAGAGAGCAGAGGGAUUAUUGGAAGUGCACUCAUAGACAUGUACAGCAAGUGCAGUGAUAUUGGUAAAGCGCAGAAAGUUUUUGAAAGUUGGCUACCUGAACGAGAUGUUCCACUGUGGAAUUCUUUGUUGUCUGGUUAUAUAAAUAAUGGACUCAU